UGCCAGACUCCUACGGGAGGCAGCAGUGGGCGAUAUUGCACAAUGGGGGAAACCCUGAUGCAGCGACGCCGCGUGAGUGAAGAAGUAUUUCGGUAUGUAAAGCUCUAUCAGCAGGGAAGAAAAUGACAGUACCUGACCAAGAAGCCCCGGCUAACUACGUGCCAGCAGCCGCGGUAAUACGUAGGGGGCAAGCGUUAUCCGGAUUUACUGGGUGUAAAGGGAGCGUAGACGGUUAUGUAAGUCUGGAGUGAAAGCCCGGGGCCCAACCCCGGGACUGCAUUGGAAACUGUUGAACUGGAGUACAGGAGAGGUAAGCGGAAUUCCUAGUGUAGCGGUGAAAUGCGUAGAUAUUAGGAGGAACACCAGUGGCGAAGGCGGCUUACUGGACUGUAACUGGCGUUGAGGCUCGAAAGCGUGGGGAGCAAACAGGAUUAGAUACCCCGGUAC
rnacentral:rRNA from 1 species